GCGCCGGAAGCAUAGAUGCGAUGCGCCUGACCACCAGCCAGGAAUGAGGGUGGUUCAAUUCCGUCCCGGCGCU
rnacentral:tRNA from 1 species